CCGCCUCACCUUUGUAAGAUUACCCGCUGAACUUAAGCAUAUCAGUAAGCGGAGGAAAAGAAACUAACUAGGAUUCCGUCAGUAACGGCGAGUGAAGACGGAAUAGCCCAAGGUUCAAACCUGGAUCUCUUCGAGGUUAGGUGAUGUGACCUAUGGACUGAUGGAGCCCGCUGUUGUGACUGCUAAUUCCGUUUGGAAUUUCGAGUCGUAGAAGGUGAUAACCCUGUUCGCAGUAUCACAACAGUUGGACUUUGCCAUUAGCUCCACGAGUAGGAAUGUCUGAAAUUGCAUUCUGAAUGGGUGAUAAGAUUCAUCCAAGGCUAAAUAUAUGUUAGGAGAUCGAUAGCAUACAAGUACCGUGAGGGAAAGGUGAAAAGAACUUUGAAAAAAGGUUUAAAAGUAUUUGACACCGUUUAUGUGGAAGCGUUUACUUGGACCCCGAUUAAUGACGUCGGUUUAGCUCUAAUUCUUAGGUGGCCAAAGUAGAGUGUUACGUGCUGAUCAAAAGGUAACGGACAUUUGAUUCAUUGGUUAUCGACGAGGAAGGUACUCUAAAUCGGCCAGUUACUAACGGGUGAGAUCUGAUGUUUAUAAAAUGGGGGAUGAGGCUUAUCGGCUUGCUGGUGGCUCGCUCUCAAUAAUGGAUAUUGGGUUUCAUCAAGAGUGCAAAAUGGUGGCAAUUCACUAUUAGUGGUUAUUAAUUUUGUUUGCGUGGCUUGGCCUUGUCUACAGGUUAUCUUCGGAUGGCUUGUAGCUUUGUUGAACGCGUGGGCUUAAUGUUGUGAUUCUAGUAGCGUUACCAUAUCGUUAGAGUGGGUUCAAUAAAUGUCCCGUCUUGAAACACGGAUCAAGGAGGCCGUUUUGUGUGCGAGUGUAAGAGUAAUUAAAACUCUGACGCGUAUUGAAAGAAAGAAUACUCCAAAAGAUCGUAACUACGGUUACCUUCUGUAAGGAGUGCCCGAAUCAUGAGAACUCUGUUUCGAAAGGAUUUGCGGUUGAGCACCUAGAAUGGGACCCGAAAGGUUGUGAACUAUGCCUGAGGAAGGCGAAGUCAGGGGAAACUCUGAUGGAGGCUUGUCGCAAUGCUGACGUGCAAAUCGCUUGUCUAACUUGGGUAUAGGGGCGAAAGACUAAUCGAACAACCUAGUAGCUGGUUCCUUCCGAAGUUUCCCUCAGGAUAGCUGGAGCAGUAUUCUAGUUCCAUCUUGUAAAGACAAUGAUUAGCAGUUUCGGGGGCGUAAUGCUCUCAGCUGAUUCUCAAACUCUGAACGGGUGGGUAUCAUUUUAAUUCACUUAAUUGGAUUUUAAAAUUAAAUUGCACAUGUGCAAUGAAAAAUAGGAGCUCUUAGUGGGCCAUUUUUGGUAAGCAGAACUGGCGAUGUGGGUUGAACCAAAUAUUGGGAUAAGACGUCUAACAUUCACUAAUAGAUACCACAAAAGGUGUUAGUUCAUUAAGACAGCAGGACGGUGGCCAUGGAAGUCGGUAUCCGCUAAGGAGUGUGUAACAACUCACCUGCCAAAUGGACUAGCCCUGAAAAUGGAUGACGCUAGCAGUGGAUGGUCGAUGCCCAAUCGUUAAAAGAAGUGAUAAUACUUUUAACGUGUAGGAAGGCGUGAAGGUAACGUAGAAGCUUGAAUGUGAAUUCGAGUGGAGUUGUCUUUAGUGCAGAUCUUGAUGGUAGUAGCAAAUAUUCAAAAGAAUUUACUUUGAAGGCCGAAGUGGGGAAGGGUUCCAUAACAAUGGAAUUCACUUAUGGGUGAGUCGAUCCUAAGGUUUGGGUUAACUCUCUCUAAUAAGGUUACUAGGUCAUUGGAUCGAAAGUGAAGGUGGCUUUAACACUAGUGACUUUAUAGGCCGAAAGGGAAGCGGGUUAAAAUUCCUGCACCAUCGAAUGGGAUAUUAGGGUAACCGAUCGUAAUCCGGGACAUCAAUUGGCGGUCGAGGAAGAGUUAUCUUUUCUUGUUAACAUUGUCUUGGGGUCCUCCGAAUCAGGUCAACUGGAGACGAGGAUUCAUCGCACAAUGGAAGAGCACAGUCCUUUGGAUUGGGUCUCGCAUCCGCUAAAUGGUCCUUGAAAACCGGAUUAUGGUAUUUAAUCCUAUUUGGUGUUCGUACCAAUAACCACAUCAGGUCUCCAAGGUGAAUAGCCUCUGGUCAAAUGUAUUAAUGUAGAUAAGGGAAGUCGGCAAAACCGAUCUGUAACUUCGGGAUAAGGAUUGGCUCUAAAGGCUGGUGGAGUGGACAUAUUGGAGUUUGCUAUUUGUUUUUUACUUUUAGGAUGGGCAACUGUUUUGAAGGUUUAAGAUGGGUGGUAAUUCUUUCCAAUGUGAGGGCUUGCUCGUUCUGCUUUACGAUUAACAGCUAAUUUAGAACUGUGACGAUCACCGGGAAUCCAACUGUUUAAUUAAAACAAAGCAUUGCGAUAAGCUUAAAAGCUUUUGACGCAAUGUGAUUUCUGCCCAGUGCUCUGAAUGUCAAAGUGAAGAGAUUCAACCUAGC
rfam:Dictyostelium discoideum AX4 chrTn_00036 genomic scaffold, whole genome shotgun sequence.